UACAUAACAGGAAGAGGGAAGUACAGUUUCUCACUGAUGGAAGCUUUUGUUACAUCGGGGACCUUUUACUACGAUUUCAACCUGUAUUUUCCAGAAAUACAGGAUUUUCUGAUAACAUAGACAGAGAAAAAAUACCAAGACGAAGAGAGAUUUGAGUCUAAUUUUAAAGACAGUCCUUAGCUUCAGUUUGUUGUGACAGCAGUAAGUAAAAGUGAAACUAAGCUACAAAUUUAGCAGAAGCCAUUACUGAGCUCAGAACAGACUGAGACAGAAUGGGCGCUGCAAAUACUGUCCCGGCAAAAAAUCCCUCCUGUCCUUGGUUCUCUAAAAUCUUGAGGAAUCCUGUUGUCCCGAGUUGCAGUCACAGCUUCUGUAAGGUCUGUCUGUGGCAGUACUGGAAAAAGAAGGGAUCUCGAGAGUGCCGAGUUUGCAGGAGAAGAUUUUCUAUGGAUGUACCUCGCCUUAACUUCUGAGGAAUACCUGUGAGGCAUUGUAUAAGUCUGCUACGGGUCACUCCGCAAUUGGUGAAGAAGAGGAAGAGUGCGUUGUUUUCCCCCCAAUGCUCUUCUGCGGACCUGCCUGGCGGCCAAUGAGGGACAGACCCACACCUAUUUAUAGCGAAUAUGUUGCUGCCGAUGUCCUCCCUGACGUCUGAGAGAGUCCUCUACGGUCCCCGAGAGGGACUAAAGACAAUGGAGCUCCAGCGUCAGUGGGGGAUCAUCAACACCGUCAGGCAGGUCCUGUGGGAGACAAGAAACAUCAAGGUCUACCAAAAAACAUCAGUGGACCUGGUCACUCUCCGGAGGAGGAUACAAAACCUCCUCCAGGAUGGUGUUUUGGUGGACUUUUGAAAAAACAAGGACCUGGCGAGAGAGAAAUGGGGGGUGGACCACUGGAAAGAACUGAUCAUAUAGUCCACCCCCCCAGGAGGGGCACUCGCUCUGCACACCACCCCGAGCGCACGUAUUUUUGA